rnacentral:rRNA from 1 species
AGAUUAAGUUAUUAAGGGCGCACGGUGGAUGCCUUGGCACUAGAAGCCGAUGAAGGACGUUACUAACGACGAUAUGCUUUGGGGAGCUGUAAGUAAGCUUUGAUCCAGAGAUUUCCGAAUGGGGAAACCCAGCAUGAGUUAUGUCAUGUUAUCGAUAUGUGAAUACAUAGCAUAUCAGAAGGCACACCCGGAGAACUGAAACAUCUUAGUACCCGGAGGAAGAGAAAGAAAAUUCGAUUCCCUUAGUAGCGGCGAGCGAAACGGGAAGAGCCCAAACCAACAAGCUUGCUUGUUGGGGUUGUAGGACACUCUAUACGGAGUUACAAAGGACGACAUUAGACGAAUCAUCUGGAAAGAUGAAUCAAAGAAGGUAAUAAUCCUGUAGUCGAAAAUGUUGUCUCUCUUGAGUGGAUCCUGAGUACGACGGAACACGUGAAAUUCCGUCGGAAUCUGGGAGGACCAUCUCCUAAGGCUAAAUACUCUCUAGUGACCGAUAGUGAACCAGUACCGUGAGGGAAAGGUGAAAAGCACCCCGGAAGGGGAGUGAAAUAGAACCUGAAACCGUGUGCUUACAAGUAGUCAGAGC